rnacentral:lncRNA from 1 species
GAUGACAUGGAGAAGUUUGCAACAUACACAAACCAAGGGUUCCUAGUGGGGAAAUGGCCUGUUGAGAGGCAUUAGGUUGUAGUCUUGGUUGAUCAAAUUUAAACACCUGGGUUGAUACAGAAUUCUGAUUUUCUAGGCCUUGAUAUUUGCUACAAGCAAGUAUUUCUGCAUAACUUGGGGCACGUUUUCCUCAUGGUUACCUGACCAGUCCGUUCACUGUGAACAUUGCCUACUGUGUCCACCUAUCAUGAAGAAGACCUGAAAUUCCACUGUGAGGACUCUAGCAUCACAGGAUACAAGGAGCCUAAAAUUCCCAUCAUGUAGAGGAGAAGACUGAAUGAUAUUUAAGGAGUCCCUCCAAGGCUGCCUGCCCAGUAACUGCCAGAACCAGGACCAGAAUCCAUGAGGACCCUGAUUCAGGGUUCAGACUCCCCAGUUUCAGACGUCAUGGAGUGCAAUGCCCAGUGGACUCAUCAGGCAGAGAAGGAUAAAAUUUGUUGCCAGAAAAGCAAGUGCAUCUCGCAGGUGGCUUCAGCCCAGGCAUCUCUUUUCUGGCUCACAGAGGUAAAUCCCAAAUGGUGAUAGAACUGUAAUUUUGCUCAAUGUCUUCUUCUCUGGUUUUUUUCCCCCUCCCUCUCUACUAAUUUGGGGUUUUUGUUGUUCUUCAUUUACUCCAGACAAGUGAUUCUACAUUGGUGGCAGCAACGACUAGUACUUUGCCUGACUAUUUUG